GUGAAAUUGUUGAAAGGGAAACGAUUGAAAGUCAGUCGUACCGACGAGAAAUCAGCCAUCUUGAGUGCGAUUUUGUGGGUGGUGAAGAGCUUAACGGCCUUUCUCAUUUACGAAAUUUGUGCUCUUAUGGUGUAUUUUUUCGUAUGGUAGGUCAACAUCAAUUUUGAUCGUUAUAAAAUGAAUUGGUGGGAAUGUAGCUUUUGAAUCUCGUAUUGAAGUGUUAUAGCCUCUGAUAGACGUAACGAUUAAGAUUGAGGAUUUGCAACGAAUACCUUUCGAGGCUAUUCGCCUGAUCUCUGGAAGUCACUUUGGUAUCGAAAGCAUGCUUUCGGCAUUAAGGAUGGCGACCAAAAGGUUAGAGCGUGAUUAAAUUCGUUAAGGAUGUUGACGUAAUGGCUUUAAACGAC
rnacentral:rRNA from 1 species